rnacentral:rRNA from 1 species
GAGUUUGAUCUUGGCUCAGAUUGAACGCUGGCGGCAUGCUUUACACAUGCAAGUCGAACGGUAACAGGUCUUCGGAUGCUGACGAGUGGCGAACGGGUGAGUAAUACAUCGGAACGUGCCUAGUAGUGGGGGAUAACUACUCGAAAGAGUAGCUAAUACCGCAUGAGAUCUACGGAUGAAAGCAGGGGACCUUCGGGCCUUGUGCUACUAGAGCGGCUGAUGGCAGAUUAGGUAGUUGGUGGGGUAAAGGCUUACCAAGCCUGCGAUCUGUAGCUGGUCUGAGAGGACGACCAGCCACACUGGGACUGAGACACGGCCCAGACUCCUACGGGAGGCAGCAGUGGGGAAUCUUGGACAAUGGGCGCAAGCCUGAUCCAGCCAUGCCGCGUGGAUGAUGAAGGCCCUAGGGUUGUAAAAUCCUUUCGUUGGGGACGAUAAUGACGGUACCCCAAAGAAGAAGCUCCGGCUAACUUCGUGCCAGCCGCCGCCGUAAG